rnacentral:lncRNA from 1 species
UUUAAAACUAUAUAGUUGGACGGGGUUUACGAGAUACGGCCAAUGCCGCCUUUACAAUAACAAAUUUUUCAUUAACAAUGACAUGAUUGAGCUACCGAUGUUCUUUUGUUUUUUCUUUUUCUUUUUUUUUUAGGUACAAAGAUGCCGAAAUUGUUGAUGCAAAAUUAUGAUUUCUUAGUGAAUGAAUGCCGAAAUUAUAUCGGCUGCAAUUAAAUCUAAGGUUGGGUUAUUUGUCAAGGGACCGAAAUAAAUAAAUAAAUAUAUGUAUAUUACGAGGUAAAAUUUGAAUUAUAACUUUUCAUGUCAAAAUAUAACUUUUAUCACUU